GACGAACGCUGGCGGCGUGCUUAACACAUGCAAGUCGAGCGGUAAGGCCCUUUCGGGGGUACACGAGCGGCGAACGGGUGGGUAACACGUGGGUGACCUGCCCUCAGCUCUGGGAUAAGCCUGGGAAACCGGGUCUAAUACUGGAUAUGACUCCAUGACGCAUGCUGUGGGGUGGAAAGCCUUGUGCGGCUGAGGAUGGGCCCGNGGCCUAUCAGCUUGUUGGUGGGGUGAGGCCUACCAAGGCGACGACGGGUAGCCGGCCUGAGAGGGCGACCGGCCACACUGGGACUGAGACACGGCCCAGACUCCUACGGGAGGCAGCAGUGGGGAAUCUUGCGCAAGUGGGCGAAAGCCUGACGCAGCGACGCCGCGUGAGGGAUGACGGCCUCGG
rnacentral:rRNA from 1 species